CGGAGGUGGAUGAAGAAGGACGUUUCUGCUUACAGGCAUAGUAGCAGCCCAGAAAGCAUCAUUUUACUGCUGGAGGCAAUAGCCAAGAAGAGUUGAAAGAGAACUUCUUCUGAUGAAGAAUAGCUCUGCCAAGCACUGAAUAUUAUCCAAUAAGAGACAAAAUGCUAAAAACAACUCUACGACCACCUUGUCUCCAACCUCAAUCCAACCGUGCAGGCCCCAGCAGAGUUGACCCAAAUCCUCACAUUAUUAAGAACUCCAAGAGUGACCCUGCAGGAGGCAAAAGCUAUUUGGCAAGGCUGCAAGGAACGGGAAAUGAUAGUAGCCAUGGAGAGCAGGAAAGGAAAGAGUCAGCCAGAGAAAAUCUCCAGAAGGAACCUUGGAGAGCCAAUGGGAAUGUCCUCCCUCACAAAAGCAGUGACAACAGGCCAGUGUCCAAAGAGAAAGGAGACUCUCCGUGGCCUGUUUCUGAUGGGAUGGAUUCUGGGAUUAACAACAAGGACGAUCAAAGUCAAGAAUGGAAAGUGGUGAAAGUGAAACGAGUUGUGCUUUCUCCCGAUGAGCCUAGGAAAGCAAAUAUCUCAAGAAGUGCAAGCUUGUCUGAAACAGAGCUGAAGGAAGCAAAAGAGAGGAGCCAAAGAAUUGUUGCUCAGUUGACCAAUCCACCAAGUUCCAAUUCCAAAGGAGUCCUGCUGUUUCACAGACGCAAGCAGCGAGUGAAUGCAUUCACCUUAGGAGCCCCAAAGCCAAUCAACCCAGAACGAGGAGUUGCGGAGAAAGGCCCCAAAGCUAUCACUCACCCGUGCGCUCUGAGCCAUGGGGAGGCAUCGCAUCUGAAGCAGACUCCAAAGCCAAACAAGGAGCUGAACGCUUCACUCUGCCUCAAUAGUUUUGGACGCUGGGGGCAAAAAGUCACCAUGGAAAAAUACGAGGAGGAACUGGGUGUGGAACAUCCCCUAGAUAACGCACAGGGCCUUCCGUGGAAUAAGGAAAAGAGCGAGACGAUUCUUUAUUCAACAAACCCAACAUCCUCUAAAGAUAUUCCAGAGGAAGAAUUUCAGCAGAUCCCGCUCAGUGUAUACCUUAAAGAGAAUACAGGGACAGCUUCAACCAACGGAAUACAUGAACCUCUCACUGAGUUUGGAAAAAUGCCUAUGGUUGAGCAAGGACCAAUUAUGGGCAAUACAGAAAAUAUCCCAGCUAAGACUGAGGAUGAGGCUACCCCCAAGAUUGAGAAGAAAGAUACCAUUCUUGAAAAAGAACUGUACCUUCUGCAUAUGGAUCGGGAAAAUAAUAUUCUCGAUAAAGAACCGUAUCUACCCGUAGUUAGUGAGAAAAACAACAAUAUCCCUGACAAAGAUCUGUAUGCUGCCGUCAUUGAUAGGGAGAAUAAUAUUGUCCUCAACACGACACCGAGCGAGCCAGUCAUAGACAGAAAGGAAAAUGGAGAGCUGCCCUACAUGGAACAAGAGGAAUUGGUCACUGACAAUGAGAACAUUUUUCCCACUGCUGACACCGAAAAAGCCACCAAUGUAUGUUCUGAUGAAACCAGCGCACAAAAUCAUAGGCAGUAUUGUGAAGUGCGCCUCACUUUGUCUAAGCCCCAACCAGUGAAGAACCGAACUGCAAGACCUUUUGGCACUCAGUCACUUGCUAAAAUCCUCUCACCAGCAGAGAAGAGUCCAGUGGCAGAGAUUCCUCCACCACCCACCUAUGCAGAAGCAUUUUCCAGCCCUCCUCCGGUGACUAGGGUCAGGUCACCACCAGCUUACUCAGCACUGUAUCCUGGUCAAGAACAGAAAAUCCUGGUUCCACCUGAAACUAGGUCCAAAGACAACAGCCCAGGACCUCAAUUCAGAGAGGAUAAAGCACCACCUCCAGAUAAAACAGGCAUUCUGGAGGAAUCUGCAGCCCGCAGAACACCUAAGAAGUCCAUGUUCACCUUUGUGGAGAAGCCAAAAAUGGGUCCCAAUCCAGAUCUUUUGAAUUUAGUACAGACAUCAGAUAAUAAAAAGAAGCAAGGAGGAGCCUUUCCUGAAGAUGAAUCAUUUGCAUUGGGUGCAGAUGCCUCUAACUUUCUAACUGAAGAUCGAUCAUUACAUGGACCUACUCAGUCCCUUGGAGAUCCUCCACCGGAGUGGUCUUCAUGUUUAAGAUCACCAAAAAUACAGCCUAGACCUAAAAUAAUCUCCAACCAAAGCCUAUCUGAGGCGAAAGGAAAGGGGGCAGAACUGUUUGCCAAGAGGCAAUCAAGAAUGCAGAAGUACGUCAUUGAAGCCCCAUCCCAUCCAGAUAUAGCAAGAUCACCUUCACCUACAAUGUCUCUUCCUCCAUCCUGGAAGUAUACUUCAGAAACUCAUCUCUCCCCCGUGGCAUUCCAACCUACACUCAAAAGUCCAUCAAGAUCUCCAAAAGGCCCCCCUGUAUCUUUCUACAACAGCAAUUUGACAGAAAGUGAGGUCUCCAAAAAGGAGUUGGAAAUCUCCAAGCAACAGCCUUACCAGCUUCGGUCACCCACGUUUGUUCGUUCCCCAGUCAAAGAGCCCAUGAGAUCUGUAGACCCUGAAAGGGGUUUUAUGAGACAGGCAUCUUCCUCUACUUCGCCCAAGACACCUUCUCCUCUGUUGUACCCACCUGUCCAGUCCAGCCCAAGCAGAACAUUGCCUGGCCUCUUUGCUCCCUUACCUGGAAACAUGUUUCCAUUACAGAAGUUCAGAGCAAAUGCUGAAAUAUCACCUGAAGCGUCUUUUGAUCAUUCUUCUAAAAUUUUGUCUCCAAGAGCUAAAGGAGUAUUCCAAGCUCCAAGACCAUCUUACUCCACCAAGAAUGCAGGGAUUGAGCCUCAGGAAAGAAAAACAUCCCUGCCUGCCUCCCCAACUUGGACUCCACAGCCGAUAAGUCGAUCAUCCAGCAGCAUAGAGGGCUGGAUGAGUCCAGCCCAAACUCCAGAAUCUGAGGAUGGGCUUGUCGAAGCCUUUCGAGCAGCCCAUGUUAUGACUCCACCUCCUCCCAUGUCUCCAUCCUGGAGCGAAAGGUCUCUGUCCCCAUUUCGACAGGAGAUUGACCAAAAGUCCAGCCGACAGAUGCAGGUGCUGUUGGCAAGAAAUAUCAUAAAUGCUGCCCGGAGGAAGAGCUCUUCUCCCAAACUUACCGGAGUAGAAAACUUCAGGCCCUUCACGCCACCUGUCACUUGCCCCAAUGUGUCAUCCACUGGUGGAAGCCCUAAGAACAGAAGUACUCAUACUCUGAGCCCAAUUCAGUCACCCAAACCAACAAGAAUGGAUGGCUACAGACGUGUGUCCCUCCCAGUCUCAGCUGCCCCAUCGCAGGCUAGUGCAUCAUCAAGCAACAGCCCCAGGUUGCUAGGCAUCAAAUCUCCAAGUCCACUACAGUCACCAAAAGCAGGGAGGAUGAAUGGAAACAAAUGCUUCACGCUGCCUACUAGAACUGGAGCGUCCCAGUUCUUUGUCUCAACAAACCAUAAUGGCCCAAGUAUAAUGGGUGCUCAUUCGGAAUCACACCAGCAUCCAGAGCCACUUCAAAAACCCACAAUCGUGGGCAGCCAUAAGGCCUUCACAUUGCCAGCAAACAACAGUGGGAUAUCAUAUAGCAGCCCAAAAAACCUGGAUGCUUCUUCUCCCACUCCCCAAAGUCCCAUGAUGACAACAUGGUCCCCAGUGAAGCGCGCCACUUCCAUGUCCCCCACCAACUCAGAGGCAUCCGUGGACUCUGACUGCUCUGGGGUCAAGUCACCUAGCAUCCGCAGCUUCAAUAUUUGUCCACGAGGCUGGAACGGCAGCCUGAGGCUGAAACGGGGUAGCCUCGCAUCAGAAGCAUCUUGUACCUCUUAAACAUGGGCCAAGAGACAUGAACCCAAAAAACAAAGGUUGUGAAAACUGUUGCCAAAAUACUUGUGCAGGUCCAUACAUGCUUAAUCCUGCCAACCUAGUUAAGUUUUAGGAGGAAGAUGUUCAUCUGCAAAGAUGUGUAACACCUUCUCUCCAAGUUUGCCACUUCUUGGGGACUUUGAAGAAGAGAAUUUAUGAGAAACAUUUCUCAUGCAAUGGAGAAGUGUGAUUCAGCUUCUAUUCCUGCAGGACAUCCAUUUCCACAGGAACUUUGUUAGCUUCCUCCUCCCUCUCUCUUGGAUGACAUGCUUGACUUUCCCAGGUUUUGCUUUCUCUUUCUCAGCUGGACUGGUGACACGAUGAUUUCUUUGCUUGGGGAAGUUUAAGACGCAUCUGACUGCUUGUGUCCCCUCUGAGAAAUAUCCGGCAGGAGGACACAGAGCCCUUGAGAGAAUCCUUGAUGACUCUUAGUGAGGGGACAGUAAGAGAGGAAAGCCAGCCUUAACUCCAUGUUCCACUUAAAACAAUUAAGUCCAUGUUUCACAUAAAACAAUUGCCAUUGAUUUAGCUCUACUUUGAUGGAGCUACUCUUCAGUUGGCUUCCACUCCAACGUCCUGAGGGAAGAAAAAGAAAACGGGGAUUAAAAAAAAAUGAGCCAGAAGCCCAUUCAGAAGUUGGUGGUGGUGCUUCAUCUGCACAGCGUACUUUUCCUCCAAACAUAUAGAUUGACUUUAUAUGAAUCAAAUGAAAUGAAACAAGGUUGUUUGAAAGCCUUUUUGUUCUCUGGACUAUUGCAGCUGAAUUACAAGAGGAUGAAGGACUGAUUCAAGCUACAAUCCAAGUACUCCCACAUCCGCAUUAGAAGAGACCACGUAGGAAUAUGAAACGUAGGAACUUCCAAGCUUUCUGGAAAUGCCACCAAAGCUAGCCAGCCUGGGACUGUGACAGUAAGGAUCCACAUGGGUUUCCAGUUAACAUGCAGCAAUGGAGGCCUGUUCCCAGAGUGUACCCAAAUGACCUCAGAACUCUUGCCAUGAUUUCAGGACUGAAUGCCCAGUGAGCAAUGGUUCUGGUACUGCCAGUCACCAGGAGAGAGGUCUUCUGAUCUCUUCUAUUGCUUUCUAGUUUACCAGAUAUCUGGGAGGCAAAGCUAUCCAAGAUGUCCCUCUGGAGAGGAGAUUGGUUAAUAAGCCCCAAAUAAUGCCUCUUCUGACAACUCUUUUUUCAGCACCUGGAGAAAGUUGCCUUCAGGUGCUUCUUGCAUAACGGUUGGAAACAACAGAUGGAGAAGUGAGCUCCACCUCUAAGUGGAGGAUCAGGAGCAAAGUUAGUUAUAUCCAACGGUAGGGAAGCUCAACAGAGCUGUUCCCUAACACAGCCACCUAUCAGAAACUUCAUUGGUCACUUGUAUUUUCACCCUGUAUCUCAGCCUCUAGACAUGCAGGACAGAACACAAAGGCGGAAGUAGUAUCCCUACUCAGGUGGGAGAAAUUUGCAUUCAGAAUAACAUUCCACACUAGGAAAGGAAAAGUGAGGAGCUGUUAUCUAAAACGCACAAAGGUGCCAAGAUAUACCCAAAGCCAGGCAGGUGGAUGAUUCUGUAUGGAUCAACUAGCUCAGGCCCCCAUCCUUGCAAUCUACUAAGAAGGACUGCCUAUCAGAGUAAAUAGGAGACAAACCCAAGAGGCUAAAUUCCCUUCCAUUUUUCCUCUUUGCUUUAUCCUCCAGUACUGCGACUCAUAGCAACAUCUACAAGGCAUAGUACUGUGUCUGGUAGCAGCAUCUAUCUAUUUACACCAUCUGUGUGGCCCCACGAAACUUCUGAUCUACCUCUGCUGAGCAGCAAAGAAAAACACACCUCCUCUCAUCAUUAUUGUUCGGCAUCUAGAAUGAAGGACUUCCUGAAGUACUCUGUGUGUAAAUAGCAGCUGUGACUUCUACUACGAUGACUCUGCAACAGAAUGCACCUAACUAUUUCCACACCGUUAAAUGGAUGGAUGCCGUUUGAUAGUAUGUUAUGAUACCUUUAGCCCUUUGCUUAUUUUCUAUUAUGGGACCAGCUCAUUUAUCAGACGUGCCUUAUUUCACAGAAAUAUAUCCCACAUGUUAAGGACACAUUGAAUAUUUGUAUGUUCCCUUCCCUGCUAACUUAUAGUGCAAUCCUAUACAUAUUGUCUCAGAAGCCCCCUCCUCCCCCAGUGUAGGUAUAUAAGAUUCCAUUCUGCAAUAGUCAUCCUAUCUCUAAAGGAAAUGCCAUACCUACUUGCACAUACCUGAACUCAGUUUCUGCUAUAAGAAACCGCUAGAAAUCCCUGGGGCAGGAUGAACAAACUUGUUUCUUGGUUUAGAUCUGUCUAUACAGCAAAGGUGAAGUUUGAGUUCGUGCCACAGUUUUUCCAGGGUUAUCUUCCACAGAACAAUGCAUCAAGGAUGGACGCAUGUUUAUCCUUAUUCUAACAUGUUGAUGGGCUAAAUUCCUCAGGAUCCCAGGAGAAAUGAGCAGUUGGAAAAAUGUAGUUAACCAAGGCUGCAAUUCUGUAUGGGUCAUCCUUAGUUAACAAAUUGCCUUGUUUAGCCACCAUUCAAAAGGAAUGACUGUGAUGAAAAAGUAACUUUAUGGUUGAUUGACCUUUGCAAAUCUGUAAAGCGAAAGAAAGCAAAAGUAAGAUUGUAAGCAUAGUCACAGUUCCACUUAUUGUCCACUUUGCCCAAUGGCCAAGUUGUUAGUCCCAGUUGUGGUAUGUAAACAAAGCCUACCUAUAUACGCUUUGCUGGGCGUAAGACCCUUUGAAAACCAAAAGACUUAGCGCAAGGAGACAAAUGUAAAAUUGUACUACAAAUAUUGAAAACAAUGUACUUAGGAGCCUUAGGGGGAAAUUCACAUCUUUUUUGACUUGUGAGUCAUCUUAUUUCUGAAUGUAUCACUGAGAACAUGUACGGCUUGCUGUAUCCCUUCACCUGAUACUGUUUGCAUCAGCACCAUGCCAUACACCUAUAUUAAAGCUCCAAAAUAAAUCAGACAUUAGCCCAUAUGGCCUGGUUAUCAAUCACACAUUAUUUUGGAAUUAAACUCUUUGUUAUGCUGAAAUACACUCACCUUUGUUGUGUCCAGUUGUGGUCUUUGUGGGUUGCCCACAUACUCAUAGAAACCACAUAGGAAAGGGAAGAAUGAAACUUCUUAAAUGGCAGUCAUUCAACUAAACAUCUGGAAGCCAGAAACUGUAAUAAGAUACGCAUAUGGACUGCAAAAAUCAGGAUGAAUUAGAAGUUUCUACAUACAUUUGCUGCCAUCUAGGCAUCAUCUGUCAGACACCCAACCCUAAGUAAGAUAGCCAAUCUGAUGUAGUGGUAAGGUACCAGCUUAGAAACUGAGAGACCAGGAGUUUUAGUCUUGCCUUAGACCAGCAGUCAGCAACCCACGGCUCUGGAGCCGCAUGUGGCUCUUUCAUCCUUCCGCUGUGGCUCCCUGUUGCUGGUUGGC